rnacentral:tRNA from 2 species
UUGGGAAUGGUCGGGAUAGCUC